AGAGUUUGAUCCUGGCUCAGGAUGAACGUUGGCGGUGUGCCUAAUACAUGCAAGUCGAACGGAGUUAAUAGCAAUAUUGACUUAGUGGCGAACGGGUGAGUAACGCGUUGGUGAUCUGCCUCAAAGUGUGGAAUAACGUUCCGAAAGGAACGCUAAUACCGCAUGUGCUCUCGAUUUUUAGAAAGUUGAGAGUAAAGGAUUUAUUCGCUUUGAGAGGAGCCUGCGUCCCAUCAGCUAGUUGGUAGGGUAAUAGCCUACCAAGGCUUUGACGGGUAGGGGACCUGAGAGGGUGGCCCCCCACAAUGGAACUGAAACACGGUCCAUACACCUACGGGUGGCAGCAGUAGGGAAUAUUAGAAAUGGACGAAAGUCUGAUCUAGCGACACCGCGUGUGCGAUGAAGGCCUUCGGGUUGUAAAGCACUUUUUGGAAGGAAUAGGAAGGAAGGUACUUCCAGAAUAAGUCUCGGCUAACUACGUGCCAGCAGCCGCGGUAAGCGUGCCAGCAGCCGCGGUAA
rnacentral:rRNA from 1 species